UUUCUGUUCCCUCCGCAACAUUAGAAAAAACCUUUUCUUCUUUUUUUUUUUGGGUUCCAUUAAUGAUUAGAUGAACACAAAAACCUGGAUUUUUUGACUAUACAAAUUAUGCAUGUAUCUAGCUAGUUUUCGGACUAGACUUGAUGCUGCCUGUGUUGCUAUUCAUUGCAAUCUUAAUAGAGAUUUCAUUAUAUUUUGUCAAAGGAAGGAGUACCCCAGUAUGGAGGAAAAGAUGUCCAUGUCAGACUUUGCAACAGGAAUUAUCGUCUAGCAUGACAAUCCAUGCUGUUUAUUAAAAAAGAAUGGGCUGUAUCCAACAACAAAAUUCUCUCCUUGAAGCUUUGACCUCUCAUUUGUCUAGUUUUAGUUUAAUAAACAGGGCAGAUUAGUUUAAGCUGUGUGCCCUUCCACCUCAACUAAAUAGCUUUUUUUUUCUUCCUAUUUUAAGAAAAAUAAAAAUUAAAAGCUUAGCAAAACCCUCAAAGAAAAUCGUGGUCAUACCAACACAUCAUGAAACCAAGUAGAUCAUUAACCUUCAAAAUUGCCUAGUCUAACCUGGCAGGUCAUCAAGGAUGUGUGCAAAUUUAAUUCAAGAUGAUAAAAAUAAUGCCUUGCCGUCCAACAAAAUUCCUCCUGAUUACUUAAAACGAAAUUUCCAAUGUGCAUUUUCAGGUAAUUUGAACUCAUAACACAUGUGGAUAAUUCACGUGUCAAGUCAUGUCCUUCCUGUGUUGUGGGAUACUUGAUACAAAGAGCUAGCUGUCUUUUCUCUUUCUCCCAGCAACAGUAUGAAAAGAGACUCUGGAUGGAUUCAUCAAUGAUUGGAUGAACUCAAAGAUAUCGAAUUUUGACCAUACAGAAAUUGUUCAUGCAUCUGGCAGCUCCAGCUUGAUGAAAUUCUUCAGGUUAUAGCUAAGGUUGGUGAGAUUCUUCUUCCUUAAUUUUUUUUUUCUUCUAGUGAAAGGUUAAGUACAGUGAAUGGCAAGAUUCAGAGAACAGGUUAUAUGUAAUUGGAUAACUUUGGUAACCAAAAGGAAGCUGGCGUAAGUUUGAUGUGUUCAAUAAUUGAUUCUCCUGCAUGGGGAGGGAAAAACAUAUUGUCAUAUAAAUUCUGCACGGGCUUAUCAUUGUUCCUUAA